GUUCAGUUUAUUUUCUGAGUUUCAGGAGCGAAAAUGCGAAUGCUCGGAGUUUUACUUAGCUUAAUGGCCAUGAUAGUGGCAGUUGUUGAGUUUGUAGCCUGUGUUUCAUUGAGAAAAAAGGUCUGUGCGCUUCGUCCCGAGUAUGGGGAAUGCAAAGGACAUCGUUUGAUGUGGGCCUAUGAUGCGAAUCGCAAACAAUGCCGUCAAUUUACAUACUCUAAUUGUGGCGGCAAUCGGAAUAGAUUUUCUACCGAAAGACAUUGCUAUGAGACUUGUGAGGAUUACACGUAUAUCGAAGUCUCAGGCCAAUGGAUGCCAAUAGAAAGAGCUUAGAGUAUUCGUUAUUUUAUUCAUUCAUCUGCAGCAAAGUCAGCGAAUGGAAUAAAUGCUUGAAUUGCUAACA